CGCCCGCCCGCGUGGCAGCGGGGCACGGCGGGGUGUGCGGCGUCUCCCUGCGGUGGCUGCUUUGGUACUGGGGGACGACAGCUGCAUCCCACGCCGUGUCCUUCCGUCCGUCCGUCCUUUCAUCCAUCCAUCCAUCCAUCCAUCCAUCCAUCCAUCCAUCCAUCCAUCCAUCCAUCCAUCCCUGAGUGGGCGGCGGCUCGUGUGUGUGUGUGACUGACAGGGAGGCGCGCACAGCGCGGGGGCAGCCGCUCGCACUCAGCCCGCCGGGGCCACGCCGGCGCGCCCCGGCUGCGGCAGCCACUUCUCCGUCCCCCGGAGCCCUCCCCGGUGGGGACAACCUCAGCGGCCUCGCUGCUCGUCCUCCUCCUCCUCCCUCCUGGCGGGACCUUCGCCUUCUGAAACGGGAACUGAAAUUUGGCUCGUCAGCAUCGAGUUGCUGAUGAAAAUCUUGGUCACCUCAGCAUUUGCCGUCUUUUUGUCUCCUUAAGAAAAAAAAAGUUAUGAGAAGUGUUUUGUACGUAUGGUAAACAUAUUUAUGGAAGUGACCGCUAAAUUAUCCAGAAAUCCUGUCUUUAAGGCUAAAAUCCUGUAAGGAAAUAGGUAAACAUAAUCAUAAUUAAUUGCAUAAUUAAAGCCUUUACCAUAUUACCUAUUCUUGUCUAAAGGUUGCACAUUAGGUGCAGUACUUGAGUACUGUGAGGAGACUGAGAAGUUAUAGUUGUUGGCAUUGUGUUGUGAAAUGUACAGAAGGAAAUGUUAAUAUCAUAUUAAAAAAAAAAAAAAAAAACUUGAUUUCAAGCACUUUGUUAGAGCUUUAGGAUCAGGAUCAUUACAGGCAUGUUAGGAACUGAGACUGCCUGUGCAUGGACAGGAGGAGAACUUGGGCUGAUUGGGAGUAAUGCAGUUUCCUGAGCUGCUAGUAAAGGAAGGAAAGACUUGAACUUGUGCAGUUUAUUUUUGUCUGUUUAUUUUGCAAUAAUAGCAUUUGAAUCCCUUAGCUAGAAUCAGCCACAAAUAUCAAAAAGUUUUGAAAAAUAAUCUGGAAAGGAGCAUAUCACCCCUCAAAAAACCAGCGUCAUGAAUGUCAAUUACAUGAAAGAAUCCAUCCACAGACAACUGCUGUCUGAAGCUCAAAUUAAUAGAAAUCAGGUUUCUUUGUCUACAUUUCUUAAUAAUUGAUUUGCUUUUAUGUGAGAAAUGUUAGGAACUUUUCUAUGUUUUAAACUGUAACCAUUAAAUCAGAAGAUACAGAUCUGGAAAGAUCAGUAAUGUAACAUUUAAGCAUUCCUUCAUUCUUUAGGAUGUUAUUGUUAUUAUUUAUGUAUCAUCCAUUUCCAGGCCAAGUUUUUCAGAUUCAGGAGGGAAUACUUUGUCACAUGUCUGUAAAGCAGCCAGCUCUCUACAGUCUCUGGGCAGAUUCUGGCAUUGUACUCAUAAGGAGCAGUAAGUAGUUCACUGGUAGAGAGGGCAAACACUGUUCUUCCUGAAACAAACUGAGCAGCGUGGAGUCAAUUUGUGACAUUGCAUAAGCUAAGUAGUACUUGAGUUAUAUAUCUGAGUCCAGGGGCAUUUUUAGGAGCAAACACGGUGACUGCCAGGACAGCAAGUGGAAGUCACAGUUGCAUUACUUAGGUAGCAAUAUCAGUCAUCUCUUGUGCAAGUGUGUCAAAGGAGCCUGUGCCCAGCUCACUCACAGUCACAGUGUCUGUCCUGGCAGCAGGCUGCCCUACAGGCUUUGGAAGACCAAGGACCCAUGAGGAGCCCACUAAGCCUGUUGGAGGGAAGAACAGACACUAAGCCAUGACUCUUGGGCAUGCAAGCAAAGACAGCUUGGGUACUGAUGGCCAUGAUCAAACUCUUCCAGGCAAGCCCACAAUUACAGGGUAAAAAUGUUGAAAUUAGUAUGAAAUUGGAUGUAAAAUCUUUUGUUAAAAAAAGCUUCCAGUGCUGAAAUCAAAGUUGUGUACAUGACAUUACAGCAGUCUAAAGCUGUGUGCCAUAUUCAAACACUUUUUAUGCCCUGAAGAAAACUGUAGGCCAUAUAGGACCUCAGACAGUUCCUGUGAAAUGCAAAGCAUGUCUACAUUGCCCUUUACAAUAAAAUAGUAAAAAGUUUGCAUGCUGUUUUAUAUCAUUUUAGGAAAGUCAUUUUCAAAGAGAGCUGAAAAAUAAAAACAUGAAGAUAGAAAUGAUACCUGGUUUUCAUUGCAUACUUCUAUUUCUUCCGUAAUUAUAUGCCAUAACUAAAAUAAAUAUAUUUAUAUAUAAAUAUAAAUAUGUAUUUUUAAUUUAUAAAUGUGUACUAUAUGAUAUACACAAUAAAUUUACACAGUGUAAAAUUUAUAAUUUUACACUUAUAUGUGAUAAGGUGUAUCAACAGGCAGUCUUUGCUGUACCACAUAGUACAUACUGCGUGCUGUAUUAACACAGUGCUACAUACAGUGCAAGUUGAUGUAUUCUGUGCUUGUAAAUAAAUUUGUAUUUAUAUUAUACUGCAUAUAUUAACAUCUAUAUAGAAAUAGCAGAUUGUAUUAUCAUAUGUGAACCAUUACAUAAACAUAUUAUGUAUAUACCUAUGUGCCUCAUGCAGCUUCUUUCAAUGCCUAUUUUCAGACACUCUCUGUAGGAAAGGUGAUCUUAAUUGACUCACUGUUGCUGUGUGCUCCAUUGCAUUUGGUGUUUUCUAGUGCAAGGCAGUGUCAGAACAUAAGCUAGCUGCAGGUGUAACAGUGUGGGAUUCUGGCCUACAGUUGGCACAAGUUCAGAUACAGCAUGCUGUGUCCAGCCUGCUUAAAGGCACAAAGAUUACCAUGAGCCUUCAGACUAGAAGUUGAUGUAUGAAUUAAUUGUUUUCUUGGAUUUUGAUUGCAGUGAUAUCAUGGUUUUAAGUGAAUACACUCCUCUGUAAGUGACUGUAGAGUGAAGGCUCUGAAGUGGUUUGGUUCUCAGUUGUAGAUUGAAAAACCCUGUUGGCAUUCUGCAUCUUUCCAGUCUUGGUGCACCUUUGCUGUAGGAAGCCCAUUAUUUAAAUUUAAGAAGUUUAAUGAAAGGUAGAAAUUAAUAAUUUUUGAGGGAAUUUUAAGAAGCUACUAAACGUUCAGAGCUCUGUGUGCAUGUGUGUGUGUCUGUGUAUGGGAGUGUGGCAUUCUGUAUUUUUCAGUGAACUAAUUGUUAAGAAGAAAUUAAAUCAACUAAUAUGUGUAUGAAAAGAGCCACAUCUCUGGUUGUUAAUUUUGUGUCCAGUUGAUAGAUAGAUUUUUGUGAGGUUGCAUGUUAAACACUUUUAUGUUUUGGUUGUAACAACUUGAGGGUUUUUUUAGUGAUAUUAACAUAAAAGACUUUUAAAUACUAUUUUUUUUUCACUUGAGAAAUGUUGAAUAUUUGAUGGUACUUUCUGUAAGUCUAUCCACUAACUCUUUGGGUAAGUCCCCUACUGGAAUAGUCCCUUUUCCCCACAUUCCACUUGUCAAACAGUUUUAGCUGAAUCCAGAAUUUUACAGGUCCUCUUCUAAGCUUAGAACUUCUCUGCUACAUUACAGGUUAUGUCUUCUUGUCCCAGAGUCUGAAUCUAAAGGAAGCAUGUUUACAAUCAUGUGUUGUUCUGGCCCACGUCAGGUUGCAUUCUGAUUAUGUUCUAUUUUUCCUGCACUGAUUUUGGUUCCAUAAAUACACAUCUCAAACUUCUCUCAUGUCCGUAAGCAGGCUGGUGUGGUGUGUAUUCUUGUCAUCUCCAAGUGAUACACAGGAUAAUAACAUGAGUAUUAUAUUGGCAAAUCAUCUAGGCCACCUUCUGUAAGCUUUAUAUCAACUGCUAGUAAUUGUCAGCCUGUGUCUCACUCCACCUUCAUUCAUACACACAGGUAGCUCUGUCACUAGCAUAACAUUUAAUGCUAGUUCUGUAAGUGAAAGAGAUACAUGUACUUCAAGUUUUGUGAUAAAAUUCAUAUAAAUAUAACUAGAACAUAGAAUUCUAUGAUAACAUAUAGCCAGAGCAUGUUUUUCCAUUGAGGUUCGUUUUCUCUGUAACCAUCAACCAUGCCCCAAUCAAAUUGUUUUCUUUUGCAGCUCAAAGUGACACAGAACACAGCACAUUGUCACUACAGGAGCAGACUCGACUGUGAAAGAUCUCUAUCAGGCAUCACAGAGAAUUUGAGGCAGCUGGCAGCUAUCAGCUGAAGCAGUUAGUCAGUAGAACUGAACAAGAUAAAUAGAUAAUUGAAAAGCCAUCUGGAAACCUGGGAGAGAUAAUAAGCCUCUCUUCUAGAAGUGAGGUAACAACUCAGGUAGGUCACAGAUGAACUCAACUCCCAGAUCAGUGCUUUGCCUAAUAACACUGAAAAUACAGCAGCAGUUCAUGGCUGUCAGUUCUGAAGUAGUAUUGAAGUUGUUGUUGGAAAGGCAGUUUGGCAUAUUCAGUUAUACAAAUCAUUAUUGCAAUAGAGUGAAAAAGGAUUGUACUGCUAAAAGACGGGUGACCAAAAUCCCGGGAGCAACAUGGUCCUUUGUAAAAUUACAGUUGCCAAAAUAGAAAACUAGUUGCACACACUUUUUACUCUCCGUGCUACUUUGUUUAUACUGCCCUGCAGUAUAUUUUUGCCACACUGACCAUGGUUGUUUGUGGGGCAAGUGACUUCUUUUUUUGUGAAAUUUAUAUUUAUAUUAAGACAAUGGAACUAUUUUUGUUUUAUUUACCAUGAGCACAGAGAAUGGAGGGGAAAAGCCAAUGUCUAUGAGUGAAAGAAUGUGUUGAUCUUAGUAGCUGCAUUUUAAAAGAGUCCUAAAGAGUUUUUCUGUUCAAGUCACUCUAAUGAUUCUCAAAUUUCUGACUACAGGGAGUGUGAAAUCUUACAGUAACAUGCAAGGAAACUGAUACCAUUUGGUAACUCCUCUUGCUAGGUUCUGAUCUCUUGUAGAACUAUACUGAUUGUAGGGAAGGAACAUGAGAUAUUUUUGUGAGAGUGGGCACAAAAAAAUAAGUUUUUGGCCUUUUUCAAAAAAGAAAGCGGCAUCUUUCCACCAGAGAAGUUCUUGAAUUGAUCCACUGGCACCUGUCUAUUUUGUUAAACCAUUCAGGUGGAUCACAGGAAAUAACUGCUGCCAGUGUAAUAAUUCUUGUGGAGGUGAACAAAACAAACAAACAAAAAACCCCAAACAACCAACAAAACAAAACAAAAACAAAAAAGAAAAAAGGGAAGACUUUUGCUGUUCAAUUUACUUAGAAAGAUGCUGUUAAAAAUCUGUUUCCAAAAAUUCUGUCUAAAAAAUUCCGUGCAUUUGCGCUGAAAGAGCAUAGAGCAAAACACAUGCAUCAAAGUUUUUUACUGUACUAGUUGCUCCAAUUACAGUGGCAGUUACAGUAUCAGUUGCUACAGUACAGUAGCUAGGAAAGCAACAUAUUAAAUUCUCAAAAUCCUUAAAUGAAAAAUUUGCAUGUGUCCAUGUUGCUGGCUGCAGAAAUAAUGUGAUUUAUUUGAACGGUCUCUGUAAAUCUUAAAAAGUAACUGCUGUUUUUAUUUUUUAGGUAUUUUUCGAAUAUCUGUUUUACUAUGGUACAGGACAUGAAUUAGUUGUGUGCAUAUGUAAAUUCUGCUUCUAUGUGUUGACUGUUGAGCAUGUUUUCCUUUCAUAUCUCAUUAUAUGAGUGCUAAAACAAAAAAAAAAAGGCAAAGCUUUAAAGUUUACUAAUGCAUGAAAAAUUUUAAAUUGCCAUUUGCUGUUUAAUCUUUCCAUUAUAAUCCUAGUGAUAGACUAGAGUCUAGAGCCAUUUUUCAUAUCAGUUUCUCAGUUUAGACAAAAGUGUACAAUUGUAAAUUACCAUUGUGUUGUAAGAUAUGUCUAACUUCAUUAGAUUACAAAACUUCUUAGGUACCAGGAGAAUUUUCUUCCUGACUUACUUAUUUUUAUUUUCUUCUAAAAGAAGGUGAAAUGAAACAGCCAAAAAAUUACUUUUUAAGUAAAAUUCCAGAAUCUGCCUAAGUAUUUAUUAUACAAGAAUCCAAUAUAGCAAUAACUAUAAUCUAAAAAGAUGUUGGCAACAUGCUGUUGUAAACACUGCAAAUAAUACUUAGAAUAAUAUGCAGAGUCAGAAGUAAGAAAGCAUCACUCAGAGGGAAGCAUCCUUAUAAUUAGGAUAGAAACAGAUCUAUUUUACUUUUUUCUCUCCCUUAUGAAUCCUUUGAGUAUUUCAGUCUUUUACUGUGCUGCGAUCCAGAUUCAGGAAAAGUGAAGAAUAAAUAGUUCAGCUCAGGCUCACAAUAUACAACUGAGAUUUAGGCUCUACUGUAGGAGAUCUGAACAGAGGAAGGUCUUAGAAACUCUCUGUAGUCAAGUUCUCUAAUUGUGCAUGAAGGGAGAGAUCCUUUGUUAUCUGGUUGUGCUCAAAUAUUAAGUCAGUGCUCUAAAUCUCGGGGGAUGAAGGUGUCUGUUUUAUACAGGCACAUUACUUAGAUUAACUGUUCAGAAAAACAUCAUGCCUAAGUGUUUCCAAAGCUCUUUGCUCUACCAUCAGGAAAAAGGAAAAGGCUUCCCCCAAAGGGUUCUGAAUUUCAUCACUUAAACGCCUGCUUAUUUGAGAGCUGGCUGCCUAAGGAACUACAUGUGAACCCUCCUGCUGCUAUAAUACUCUGAAUAAGGCCCUUGAGUGUAGAUAGGUUUGCAGAAAUGUAAAGCAUCAAUGAGCAUACUCUGAUGGGAUCAUAUUCUGCACUCAAGAAAACAUGACAUUCCUGAACAAGCUCACAGAAUGUAAUGAAUUUCUUGAAUACCAUGAGUACAUUGAAGUAAUCUACAGUACUUCACUUGUUAUUCAUUGUGAUGAAAGCACUGGAGUAUAUGAUCAAAAUCAUACAUGAAAACCUUUCACUUCAUGUCAUUAUGACUUAUUAUUAUAAUCUUGGUUUACUUUUCUGGGAUAAUCACAUCUUUACCGAGUGGGUAAAACUUUAGAAAUAGAAGUAUGGUUGGAAUACUAGUGCUGGGCAUGCUUAAAAAUCAUCAGUAUAUAAUGUAUUUACUUUCUUUGCUGAUUAGGUAAAAAAUGUGUGUCUACAUUUGAGGGGACACAUACCAAACAAGUUCUUCUCCUAACACACAAAUCAACACCAGGAGACUUUUGAAGAAGAAAACACACAAUAUUUACGUGUGUGGUUCUAAAGUGCACUAUAAGGAAGCAGAAGUCAACUUUCUAUUUGGGGAAGGUCUCAGAUUGCUAACCCAAACCCUUUUUUCCCAACAAAUGGCAAUGGCAAUGUGUUUACAGGUAUUCACAUAUUUCCAUUACUUUUCUGUGACUUUCUUGUUCUUUAACAAUAAGGCCUGAUGUAACUUCUGCAAGUGCCCCAGGAUCACACUGUUUUGUUUUGUUUAUUCCACAAAAUCAGUAAUAAUAGUUUAUUUUUUUCCAUUUACAUUUUUUUAUCAGUCGUUGUCUCAUUGUCAGUAAUGUCUUUGGAUGCACAAGUCUGAUACCGAAUUGGUAUUCAAAUAUCUACUUCUUAUCAAGUAGCUUGAAUUCAACAAUUUAUUGUGGUCUAGGGUGAGACUUAAGUGCAAAUUGAGACAUCGUCGGCAUCUAUAUGGAAGGGCUCAGGUGUAAACUAUAUAUGUAAACUCUUGCUCUAGACAAGAGUGAAUGCAACCUGUGGACCCUUCUUGGUGCCUUGUCUGCUGAUGAACUGCUUUGCAGAUGUUUCAGAGGGAACUGAGUUGUUCUCUAAGCUCCAUCUGAACACAGACAAAAAUUAUGGCAUCAUGUGAAAUGUACUGUCAGUUUCUUUCUUGCAGUUCUCUACGGGAUGAAAUUCCCAGAAACUGGAAAAAUACAUUUAAAAUAUAUUUUUAUAUCACUAAGUUCCUGACAAAAAUAGUGAAAAGAACUUUCCUGAGUUUCUCCCAAAGACAAAUCAGGAUUCCAUAAAAUUGUUGGUUCUUCUCUUGUUGUUUGCUGUGACUCGUGCACAUCAUACAACAGUACCCGAAGCUAUUGACCAGGUAAAGCAAUCUCGGAUAUCUUUGUGUGCUUUUGUUCUGAAAAUGUUUAUCUAUGUGCAUCUUGGAUCUCUCAGGCUUAUUCAAUGCAUUUAAGAUAUUAACAGGAUUACUUGAGUUGGUAACCUGAAAUAAUCUGACAUUGCAUUUAUUGAUGCACAAGAUUAUUCCAAAUUUUGUGUCCAAAUGUCUUACCUUAGAGUUCCAUAUGAAUAAAAUACUUUAAACAUA